GUCAUGAUGAGCGCUGUGAACAUGACCUGACCUGUACGCUGCUGCCUUUAUUGGAGUUGAAACCUCAUCACCUGGACUGGAUCCAGCUGCAAACUCAGAGGUGGAAGUGUAUGUGUUUGUUAUGGAUCUGCUGUUUUCAGGUUUUGAGUUGGUCUUCAUCAUCAUUGCAUUUACUAUCAUGUGCUUAUUUGGCCUGGCUGCUAUCUGCACACACAAUACAGAUCAUCAAGAUGACUACAUUCAAACAGAACAGAAGAUGAUGCGACAAAAGAACACCUCAAAGAAAAAACAGAGAGUCAUCACCAAAACCAAUCAAGAGCUUCCAUGAACACAAACAAACACAAAUACAGAAUCCUUCCACUGGUGCUCAACGGAUAGAUAGGACUGGCUCACCAAAUGCAGAUAACCAGCGGACAAACGGAAGAUCUCUGACACUGCUGUCGACUUCAUAUAUCCUUAGAGCCUCAAGGCCAGCUGAUUGGCUUGAAUGUAUGACCCCAAUAAGUAAUUAAACAGUAAAGAAAGAUAAAGACGAUUUAUUGAAAUCAAAUCCCCUCCACUUUCUUUACCUAGAUCUGCUUAUCACUUGUAAUACAAUGAUUUAAACCCUGUCUGGAGGAGCCUUCUUUUUUUUCACGCAGCUUAUGCUUUGCUGGGCAAAAUGCGGUAACACUUAAUUUCUGUUAUCCACUUUAAACAUUCUACUAAUAGUAAGUAACUUUGCAACUACAUGUCAACUAGCAGUUAGUAGAGUAUACUAAACCCUAAACCUACUCUAACAGUCUACUCAUGUAGUUGCAAAUUAAUGAGAAUUAGUCGACAUGUAGUUACAAAGUUAUUAACUGUUAGUAGAAUGUUUAAAGUGGACUAUCGAAAUAAAGUGUAACCCAAACGGCUUCAAAAAGUCUCAUGGUGGUGGUAGCCUUUGGCAAGAAAAACUGCAAAAUAUGUUAAUGAAUGUAUAU